AAUCUUUCGCAAUGGGCGCAAGCCUGAUGCAGCAACGCCGCGUGCCCGAGGACGGCCUUCUGGUUGUAAAGGGCUCUUCUGGCUGACGAGGAAGGACGGUAGGCCAGGAAUAAGCGUCGUCGUACUACGUGCCAGCAGCCGCGGUAAAACGUAGGACGCGAGCGUUAUACGGAUUUACUGGGCGUAAAGCGCGGGCAGGCGGUGGUCCUAGUCGGACGUGAAAGCUCCCGGCUAAACUGGGAGAGGUCGUUCGAAACUGGGCCGCUAGAGGGCAGUAGAGGGGCGUGGAAUUCCGGGUGGAGUGGUGAAAUGCGUAGAGCUCCGGAGGAACACCAGAGGCGAAGGCGGCGCCCUGGGCUGCACCUGACGCUGAGCCGCGAAAGCUAGGGGGGCGAACGGG
rnacentral:rRNA from 1 species